rnacentral:rRNA from 1 species
UUUUGGACAAUGGGGGAAACCCUGAUCCAGCCAUUCCGCGUGUGCGAUGAAGGCCUUCGGGUUGUAAAGCACUUUUGGCAGGAAAGAAAUCGCGCAAAUUAAUACUUUGCGUGAAUGACGGUACCUGCAGAAUAAGCACCGGCUAACUACGUGCCAGCAGCCGCGGUAAUACGUAGGGUGCAAGCGUUAAUCGGAAUUACUGGGCGUAAAGCGUGCGCAGGCGGUUCGGAAAGAAAGGUGUGAAAUCCCAGGGCUUAACCUUGGAACUGUACUUUUAACUCCCGAGCUAGAGUAUGUCAGAGGGGGGUGGAAUUCCGCGUGUAGCAGUGAAAUGCGUAGAUAUGCGGAGGAACACCGAUGGCGAAGGCAGCCCCCUGGGAUGAUACUGACGCUCAUGCACGAA